rnacentral:rRNA from 1 species
UACGUAGGGGGCAAGCGUUGUCCGGAAUUAUUGGGCGUAAAGAGCGUGUAGGCGGUCCGGUAAGUCAGCUGUGAAAGUCAAGGGCUCAACCCUUGAAAGCCGGUUGAUACUGUCGGGCUAGAGUCCGGAAGAGGCGAGUGGAAUUCCCGGUGUAGCGGUGAAAUGCGCAGAUAUCGGGAGGAACACCAAUGGCGAAGGCAGCUCGCUGGGACGGUACUGACACUGAGGGACGAAAGCUAGGGGAGCGAAAGGG